AUGGACCAAUCCAUCCCUUUUUCUAGUGCAUAUGCAUUGGACUCCGAUGACAAUGGUCCCGAUGAAGAAGUUGAUGAGGAGGGGUUCACGCCCAAGGAGGCCUAAGCAUUUAAGAAGGUAUUCGGGCAGGAUCACAAGACACCAUUGUUCAAGGAUCUUAGUCUCGCGAAUGAAGCCAUUGUAGAUGGUGGCAAAUGUAUAUCUCUUGGAGCUAGGCCAAGUUCUCACCAUGAUUUGGAAGACGGCAAGAACGGGAUAUAUCCCGAUGGUGAGUUUCAAUCCUUCUUGGAAUUGAAGAUGUGGCUCGACAACUACUCAGUUAUGCAUUAUCGUCCACAUAAAGUGGUCAGCUCGGACGUCAAUGUGUGUGACACGGUUAAAUGUGAAGUGCCAAGACGUCUAAGGAUUGUGCGUGCAAGGCCAUGGAAAGGAGGUCCCACUUGGCGCAUAGUGAGUUGUACGCCAAGUCACAUGUGCCGACACAAGAAUGCGGAUGGUGAGCUUGUGGACCAACAACAAAGACAACUCACAUCCGAGUCAUUGCUUACAGGUUAUCCAACCAAAUAUCCACACUUCCAAUAA
rnacentral:rRNA from 1 species